GUGAGAUCUCGAAUACUUCGCAGUCCUUCAAAGUAAGAGCACCAAACAAACAACAAAAAUGUUGGUGAGUGGACAAAUUAAAUAUGUAUAUGUUUAAAGGUUCGACAUUCUUCUGAAUAAUCAACUGUUACCCAGAGAAAGACCCAAGAACUUCUACUGGUACACACAAACCUGAGCCUGGGACCCCUAACCACAAGAAGCAUGACAGAUGGCCAAGGCCACCUGCUCCCUUGCUGCCAAUCGUGACGCCCAGAGCCUGGUCAGAGGCUGGUGCCAGGCAGCUGGGGGUGUGGGAGGAAAACACUUCCCAAGGGUGAACAUGGGAUUAAGAUGGCAGUGACCUUGGGAUGACUCAGAAGGCAUCAUGGUGCUGGGAAGAAGUGAC